GGCUGUUUAGGGAAAAAUAGCUUACUCUUAAUCAGCGGGUCCACGGUUCGAGCCCGUGAUCACCCACCA
rnacentral:tRNA from 1 species